GCAUAUCAAUAAGCGGAGGAAAAAGAAACUAACAAGGAUUCCCCUAGUAACUGCGAGUGAAGCGGGAAAAGCUCAAAUUUAAAAUCUGGCGGUCCUUGCGGCUGUCCGAGUUGUAAUCUGGAGAAGUGCUUUCCGUGCUGGACCGUGUACAAGUCUCUUGGAACAGAGCGUCGUAGAGGGUGAGAAUCCCGUCUUUGACACGGACUACCAGUGCUUUGUGAUGCGCUCUCAAAGAGUCGAGUUGUUUGGGAAUGCAGCUCAAAAUGGGUGGUAAAUUCCAUCUAAAGCUAAAUAUUGGCGAGAGACCGAUAGCGAACAAGUACCGUGAGGGAAAGAUGAAAAGAACUUUGGAAAGAGAGUUAAACAGUACGUGAAAUUGCUGAAAGGGAAACACUUGAAGUCAGUCGCGUUGGCCGGAACUCAGCCUUGCUUUUGCUUGGUGCACUUUCUGGUCGACGGGUCAGCAUCAGUUUUGAUUGUCGGAUAAUGGUUGAGGGAAUGUGGCAUCUUCGGAUGUGUUAUAGCCCUUGGUCGCAUACGAUGGUUGGGACUGAGGAUCUCAGCACACCUUUAUGGUCGGGGUUCGCCCACGUUUGUGCUUAGGAUGCUGGCAUAAUGGCUUUAAAUGACCCGUCUUGAAACACGGACCAAGGAGUCUAACAUGCAUGCGAGUGUUUGGGUGGAAAACCCGAGCGCGUAAUGAAAGUGAAAGUUGAGACCUCUGUCGUGGAGGGCAUCGACGCCCGGACCAGACCUUCUGUGACGGCUCUGCGGUAGAGCAUGUAUGUUGGGACCCGAAAGAUGGUGAACUAUGCCUGAAUAGGGUGAAGCCAGAGGAAACUCUGGUGGAGGCUCGUAGCGAUUCUGACGUGCAAAUCGAUCGUCAAAUUUGGGUAUAGGGGCGAAAGACUAAUCGAACCAUCUAGUAGCUGGGUUCUGCGA
rnacentral:rRNA from 1 species